rnacentral:snoRNA from 10 species
UGGUCAUUUACCAAGGCAUUUAGGAUCCUUGUUCCCAUCUUGCUGUGGAUAUGACCAUAAAGCAGAUCUAUUCCAGUGGGUUCCGCUAGCAACACUGCUGGGAAACCUGCGGGGAACAUCU